UACAGAGGGUGCAAGCGUUAAUCGGAAUUACUGGGCGUAAAGCGUGCGUAGACGGUUGCGUAAGUCAGAUGUGAAAGCCCCGGGCUCAACCUGGGAAUUGCAUUUGAGACUGCGUAGCUAGGGUGCGGAAGAGGGAAGCGGAAUUUCCGGUGUAGCGGUGAAAUGCGUAGAUAUCUGGAGGAACACCGGUGGCGAAGGCGGCACCCUGGACCAAUUCUGACGCUGAGUGAGCGAAAGCCAGGGGAGCAAACGGG
rnacentral:rRNA from 1 species